rnacentral:rRNA from 1 species
AAAAAGCUCGUAGUUGGAUUUCAGUCGAAGACGGCCGGUCCGCUCUUUGAGCGUGUAUCUGGUUCGGCUUUGACAUCCUCGUGGGGUACGUAACUGUGCUUGAUUGCAUGGUGCGGAAUUCACGACUUUUACUUUGAGGAAAUUAGAGUGUUCACGGCAGGCAUGAGCCUUGAAUACAUUAGCAUGGAAUAAUAAUAUAGGACUUUGGUUUUAUUUUGUUGGUUUCUAGAACUAAAGUAAUGAUUAAUAGGGAUAAUUGGGGGCAUUUGUAUUAACGCGUCAGAGGUGGAAUUCUUGGAUUGCGUUACGACAAACUACUGCGAAAGCAUUUGCCAAGGAUGUUUUCAUUGAUCAAGAACGAAAGUAUGGGGAUCGAAGAUGAUUAGAUACCGUCGUAGUCUAUACCAUAAACUAUGCCGACUAGAGAUUGGAGGUCGUUCUUUCUAUGACUCCUUCAGCACCUUAUGAGAAAUCAAAGUCUUUGGGUUCCGGGGGGAGUAUGGUCGCAAGGCUGAAACUUAAAGGAAUUGACGGAAGGGCACCACCAGGAGUGGAGCCUGCGGCUUAAUUUGACUCAACACGGGAAAACUCACCAGGUCCAGACAUAGUAAGGAUUGACAGAUUGAUAGCUCUUUCU